UACGUAGGGUGCAAGCGUUGUCCGGAAUUAUUGGGCGUAAAGAGCUCGUAGGCGGUUUGUCGCGUCUGCUGUGAAAACCCGAGGCUCAACCUCGGGCCUGCAGUGGGUACGGGCAAGCUAGAAUUCGGUAGGGGAGACUGGAAUUCCUGGUGUAGCGGUGAAAUGCGCAGAUAUCAGGAGGAACACCGGUGGCGAAGGCGGGUCUCUGGGCCGAAAUUGACGCUGAGGAGCGAAAGCGUGGGGAGCAAACAGG
rnacentral:rRNA from 1 species